UACGGAGGGUGCAAGCGUUAUCCGGAAUCACUGGGUUUAAAGGGUGCGCAGGCGGUUAGUUAAGUCAGAAGUGAAAGGUUAUAGCUCAACUAUGAAAUUGCUUUUGAUACUGAUUGACUUGAAUACGGUUGAGGUGGGCGGAAUGCGUCAUGUAGCGGUGAAAUGCAUAGAUAUGACGUAGAACACCAAUUGCGAAGGCAGCUCACUGGAGCGUUAUUGACGCUGAGGCACGAAAGCGUGGGUAGCGAACAGG
rnacentral:rRNA from 1 species